UCUUGACUGCCGCGAUUGAGUGCAUGCGGGCUCUGUAACAGUUGAUUGUCUUUAAAUGACACGAAACGACGCCUCAGUUUAUGCUGUCAUUUUUUUUUUUCAAUUUAUAAAUCGAUGAAAUGACUCAAGAAAUUAAAAACCCGCGUCAUCAAAAAAUUCCCCGUUUUAAAAGCUUUUUGAUACUGAAUAAGAUCGGAUAACACAUCAAACCGAAUAAGAAAUACUAAAUGCAAUAUAGGAAAUACCAACGGUAAAACUGGACAAAGUCAACCAGGAUAUGUCAGAAAAGAAAACGCCUUUGUGACGAGCUUGAUUUCCUGCAAUUUUGUGAAGUGUAAACACCAUGAGCGAGGAAAAUUGCCAUGCAACCAAAAAAAAUUAAAAAGACCAUGCAUACGGAGAAAGUGUUUUUUGUUUUUUUGUUUUUUUUUAAUAGGAAUUUUCCGGGUCACAUCAAACAACCUCCUUGAUGACAGUCAAACAUGGCGGACUUCUUUAGCCAACCACUAAAGUUCAGACACUAUAGUUUUGUCAGUGACUACACCAAAGAGCAUAAUACCAAGAUUCAUCAACAAAGUUACUGUUCAAUACAUUCAAAUAUGAGACACACUCUGAAAAUCUUGCAGACAUGUUUUCUUAAAGUGCUAAGAGAGAUCGCAACCAUUAUGCACAUCAUUGACGAAUCUUGAAAAAUAACAAUUACAUUGAACGUACAUGGCUCAUAUAACAUUGGUCAUCGUGGAAAUAAAAGGAAACUAUGAUGAAAAUCUGAUUCGUGCAAGCAGGUGGAAUCAAAUGAUACAAAUAUUAAACGCAGAAGAAGAAAAAAACUAUAUACUGCAAUUUUUAAAGAGGAUAAACUUAGAUCAACAGGAAAGUUCCCUUUGAUUAUAUUUAUUAUUAUUAAUUAUUUUUGUUUAUAUUCAGAAUACUGUUUUUUGUGUGAAUUUAUAAAUAGAUAAUGUUGUUUUUUGCUACUUGUUAGUACCAACUUAACAAAAAGUAACAACACGUUUUAACAUGUUUCAGUGAAGAUUUGAUAUCAUAAUUGUUUUAUUCUAAAGUCUGUUAUUCUCUUUUGUGGGUUAAUAUGCCUAGAAUAUCAAGCAUCUACCAAAAAAGUUCCUCCUAUUAUUUUUUAAGGAAAAAUCUCAAGUCAAUUGAAUUCCACAAUUAAAUAAAGCUACAUAUAAGGGCUAUAUUUUAUUUAGUUAGUUAAAAUAUUUUACAGAAUAACAUCUUUGCAAAUAAGAAAAUGUUUUAAAAAAAAAUCGGGAAAUUUUUAAAUAGGUGUAUUAAUCUAUGUUUUUUAUCUUUAUUUUGUCUAGAUUUUUUAUGUUUUUGAUUUAUUCAUGUCACAUUUAUUUUUUACAACUUAAUAAUAAUAAUAAUAAUAAUUAUAAUAAAAAUGAUAAUGAUAGUAAAAAGUAAAUUUUGUAUACGUUGUGAGUUACUUUGCUUUGAUUCAUAGAUCAAUAUUCUUAUACUAUAAAGUUUGAUAAAAUAUGAUGUUUUUUUCAAAAAUAAUUUCAAGUUUAACAGUUAAGCAAAAUUGGAGACCAACUCAAAUCCAAGAUAUUCUUUUAAUGAAAAUUUUUGGAAAGAGCAAAUAAGUUUGUUUGCAAUGAUAUUUAUGUACACAUGAACAUUUUUUUUUUCUGUUUUUCAACCCAGUAGUAGAUGUACUAGUGGAGCAUAUUUGGAUACAAAUUAAAACAAGAGGAAAUUAAA